UACGUAGGCAGCGAGCGUUGUUCGGAAUCAUUGGGCGUAAAGGGCGUGUAGGCGGUUUGCUAAGUCAUGUGUGAAAUCCCUCGGCUUAACCGGGGAACGACGCAUGAAACUGGCAGCUAGAGUACCAAAGAGGGGGGUGGAAUUCCCGGGUGUAGCGGUGAAAUGCGUAGAUAUCGGGAGGAACACCUGUGGCGAAGGCGGCCCCCUGGUUGGAUACUGACGCUGAUUGCGAAAGCGUGGGGAGCAAACAAGGAUUGAGAAAACCCUGAAGUAGUACCCAGAA
rnacentral:rRNA from 1 species